UCCUCAGUAGCUCAGUGGUAGAGCGGUCAACUGUUAACCGAUUGGUCGUAGGUUCAAAUCCUACUUGGGGAG
rnacentral:tRNA from 1 species